AUUGAACGCUGGCGGUAGGCCUAACACAUGCAAGUCGAACGGCAGCACAGUAAGGCCUUGCUCUUUGCUGUGGCGAGUGGCACGCGUGUGAGGUGUCCAUCGGAAUCUACUUUUUCGUGGGGGAUCACGUAGGGACGCUUACUCUAAUACCACAUCCUCCCUACGGCAGAAAGCAGGGGCUCUUCGGCCCUUGCGCUCUGGAAUGAGCCGAUGUGGGAUUAGCUAGUUGGGGGGGUAAAGGCCCACCUAGGCGACGAUCCGUAGCUGGUCUGAGAGGAUGAUCAGCCACACUGGAACUGAGACACGGUCCAGACUCCUACGGGAGGCAGCAGUGGGGAAUAUUGGACAAUGGGCGCAAGCCUGAUGCAGCCAUGCCGCGUGGAUGAAGAAGGCCUUCGGGUUGUAAAGUACUUUUGUUGGGAAAGAAAAGAGGCAGGUUAAUACCCCGCCGCACUGACGGUACCCAAAGAAGAAGCACCGGCUAACUCCGUG
rnacentral:rRNA from 1 species